AGAUGAUGCUGGUGCUUCUGGUCCACAGACCACACUUGAGAGUCUGGCUUAGAUAUCACAAAACAGAAUGCUGAGGAACCUUGUGAGCCUGAAGGCUGGAACGCAGUCGACAAUCGUAGUGCUCCCUGCAGCCUCGACCUCCCAGGCUCAAGCAAUCCUCCUGCCUCAGGCUCCCAAACAAAUGUACUUUUAAAAGCGGAAAUCAAGAUGUGAAG
rnacentral:lncRNA from 10 species